GUGUGUGUGUGUGUGUGUGUGUGUGUGUGUGUGUGUGUGUGAGAGAGAAUGUGUGCACGCAGAUAUAAGAAGUUGGGGUUGAUGAUCCACAUGAUGGUGAUGGACCAGGACAGCUCUGGACCUCCUGACUGGCAGCUCCAUCCUCAACCUCUCUUCCUGCCCUUCACACAUGUGCAGGCAGCCAGUUUUCUGAAAGAUGGUUGAUGUCAGUACCAACAUGUUGUGAUGGAGGCUUCCACCUGAGCUGAACACAGAAACUUGCACACAGUGAUGGAAGCAGUCGUUCCUGUUCAGCAUCGAUAUGCCAGUAAUGGGUUUGAUGAGCCACAGCAUGGUGAUGGGCAAUCAGCAUCAGGACCAGGGCAGCCCACAAGGAGAACCUCCUGCCCUGCCUCGUCAUCCUCAACCUCCCAUCUCCCUGCUCUUCACACAUGUGCAGGCACGAAGCCAGUUUUCAGAGGGAGGGCUGAUGACACCAGCAACUUUGGUUCUGGACCUGAUCAACCCAGCACCAACCACUGUGCCGCUCCUCCUCUGCCAACUGCACCACAUGGCUCCACCAUCUCAAAAAGGCACAGACACUACUCCACUUCCUGCGAAGGAUGAGAGAAGAGCCGACCGCCCCACAUCGGCACUCACCACCUUCUACAGGGGUGUCAUUGAGAGCAUCCUGACCAGCAGCCUCUCUGUCUGGCAUGGCAGCCGUCAAGCUGAAGACUAGAAGGCAGUACAGAGAGUGUGGUGAGCUCGGCAGAAAAGCUCAUAAGAUCACCCCGACCAGCCAUUCAGGAUCUGUACACUUCACACUGUUCCAAGAGGGCAAUGAACAUCAUAAAGACACAACUCAUCCAGCAUACAGACUGUCCUCCCUACUACCAUCAGGGAAGCGCUAGCCCGGCAUGCGGUGCCGCACAAGCACACUGGGAAACGGCUCUCCUCAACGUUCUGAAGAAAACCACAUGAAUAUUCAAAGGACACUGGAGAAUAUUCCAUGAACACUUCUUUCACCAUGCCACUUACACUUUACUCAUUGCACCUUAUAUACAGCAUCUUCACAUCACCUGUAUGAUCUCCUCCUGCCAUGUGUGUGUGUGUGUGUCCACUGUGUUUGUGUAUUUAUUGUCCAUCAGUAUGUUAUUCUUCUUAUUGCACACUGUUUGUGUCUCUGUGUGACUGUAUUUAUUGAAUGUAUCAGUCUGUAUUUAAUGUCAAUGCAUUACUUUUAGUUAUUAGUUAAACUGCACAUUGGAGACUGGUCAAACACAAUUUCAAACUUUGUGUUAACCCUCCAUAGAUUUUUGUCAAAAAAUGGAGUCUAAUCUACUGUACUAUUCAGGCUAUCAACAGACCACACAGUUGAGUGCUGUUUUAUGCACUCUGAAUAUGAGGAGAAGGAGGUGACCGUUCACACUUCAUAGUGUAAAAGUAAACAGAAAUAAAAUUUCACAUUUCA